UUUUGGGGCCUUUGCCACUGUGAAGGCUGGUGCCUUCUCUUCUUUUCUCUCUUCUUGGAGCUGAGUACGGUGCUAACAUCUUUUCUCUAACUCUAACUCAAUCUGGUUCAAAUCCGCUUCAGAGAGUUAAAAUGAGUGCUGUGGAUUCCGCGGCCUGUAGUACUUCAGUCUCUCACUAAUCGGGCUUCGUGACGACGUGCCCUAGUGCCUACAUGCUGGAGUCCAGGGGGGUGUGAUGUCUUGUCGUGUCUGUCUCACUUUCUCUCUGUGCAGAUGAAAAAGGUGCUGUUUUUUUCUUGUUGAUUUGUUUGUUUGCUUUUCCCCGCGGUCCGGGCUUGCUCUGGAAAAACAGAAUAGAGAGAAAGGUAAAUAAAGUUUUGGACCGUGAAGAAGUUGCUGUUAUUGAAAACACACAAAAAGCGGAGAAGCUGAGGUAGCUAUAUACCUGAAUGAUUCUUCUUCAGAGAGAAAGAGUUAUUUAUUUGGAGUUAUUUUCAUGCGACUCACAGUAACCUCAGUGAAAUGCUUGGGGAUCCCUGUUUUAGCUGUAGUUGUCCUUUCUGCUCUAUGGAAUUGGUACAGAAAGCUCUUCUUUAUCACUACACUUUCACGACUUCUAGCAGUUGGACAUUCGCCAGGUGCAUAGUGCCGGCACAGGUAUUGUUAGAAUGUUUCCAAAGUUAACUCCUACCCCAGGAGUCUUGCCUGGGAGGUGUGUGGAGUAACGCGGGGGCAGGUUCCACCUCCAGAGCACUGGAUCGGAUCGAUCUUCACACUUUUAUCAGCCCUACGUUUAGACAUCAGUGUCGCUACACUUGACAGCUGGGCCAAGAGACUUUACAUGCUUCCCUAUUCUGCUCACUGCAGAGCGUGGUUCGUAUCCAGACUGAACCGUUGCCAGUGUGGAGACCGUGACAUGUCAAGGCCUCAACUCAUAAACUCCUCUUUUCUCAUUUUCUAGACUCUUAUCCUCUCGUUAUCUCCGAAUUAUCCACACCGCGGUUGGGGCGAGCUGUACGUAGUCUGAUUGCCUGAACUUGACUACCAGCUCAUUUCAAUGUCAUAAUGCUACUUAUGAAGACCAGAAUAAGCCAUGGUACCUGUGGAGGCUUUUAACCUACUUUUUUAAAGAGCAAUUAAGUCUUAAUAAUAGUUUCGUGAAACAGCGGCAGUCAUUUUUGAAUGGAUGCCCUGGAUAGACACCAAAGUAUUCCAGGUGGUCUCAAAAUGGCCCAGUGUUUAUGUUCCUGUAAUAACAGUCUCCACUCUGAGAGUGUGAUGGCUCUUUUUCACUCUGGCCCCCUGAGCUCUCCUGUAAAGCUCUGUAAUCACCCAGGCGACCCCUACGUCUGACCGGGGUCACUCAGGCGGCUAGUCUGGAUGAAACACACUCCACAAAUACGGAUUGUCUGGCCAGGGCAGCACUGCACCACUGCACCCACUCAGAAAAGGCAGCUUGGCUCUUGACGGUGCCAUGCAGUGAAUCACAAUCCCACAGGUGGUUCCGAUUGAGGGGCAACUGUCUGGAGUUGGCUUUCAUUUCAACAUGAUAUUUCCAUUUCAAUUGUCUAUUUCAAAGGUGUUUAACUAUCAUCUGCAACUUUGACACGACUCUGGAAAUGAGGAAAGAGAUGUGGUCUGGAUGUCACAGUGAGUUCAUUAGCCUGAUAAAUGUUACAGUCAAUGUUACACUUCAUUUUGAAGGAAAAUAAAUCCACAGUAACCAACCUUCACAGUGGCACUGGUCAUUGAUAUAAUCUCUCCGAAUUUUGUAUUAUUAUUAUUUAUUUAUACUGUAAAGUUAUGAAUCCUGCAGUAGCUUUUUGUUUUUGAAAAACAUACAGAGAUUUGAUAUCCUUCCCUGUGUUCAUUAUUUUUUAUUUUUGCUUUGUUUAAAACAUACGAUUUUAUGGCCUAAAUUAUGAAUUUAUAACUGUGCUCCCUCUUUUGUAUUGUAAGUGAUCGCGUCUGCUCAAUGCUCUCUGUGUACCAACAGCACAAGCUGUGCUCCUCUUUGGGUCAAGGUCUGGCAAAAUUAAAACUAAUGUAAAACUGGCAAUGUGGUAAUUGUAUUUGCAAGGAAAAUGUGCAAUAUCCUUUUCUCAGAUGGUUCCAGGUUUCAGAGUAAAAAUUCAAUUUUACGUAUUUUUUGGGCUUUCCAGUCAAUUCCUCAGAUCACACUAAUGCACCCGGAUAUGAAAUGGCUGGAUUUUAUUUUGGUCUUGUCGCUCUUGUUUAUUUUAUGUCUCUGUUACACAAAUUUCCUCAGAAAAAAAGUUCUGGGUUAAACACAGGCACUUAUUCAGGUGUCCUUUUCCUUGUUCUCUUUUUUGUAUUAUGAUUAUUUAUUUCCAUUGCCACAUGAAAGGAGUUUUUGGUAGAGAACUGGGCUGGAAUUUGUUACACACAAUUAUUAAGGAUGUUUUUUUGUCAAAAACGUAAGUGUGUAUUUCAUCAAUAAAUGCCUUUAAAAGUG
ensembl:lncRNA